rnacentral:rRNA from 1 species
GGGUGAGUAACGCGUGGAUACCUGCCCUUCAGUGGGGAACAACUCGGGGAAACUCGAGCUAAUACCGCAUUCGACCGAGAGGUGAAAGGGGGCCGCAAGGCUUCCGCUGAAGGAGGGGUCCGCGUCCGAUUAGCUAGUUGGUAGGGUAAUGGCCUACCAAGGCGACGAUCGGUAGCCGGCCUGAGAGGGUGAUCGGCCGCACUGGAACUGAGACACGGUCCAGACUCCUACGGGAGGCAGCAGUGGGGAAUUUUGCGCAAUGGGCGGAAGCCUGACGCAGCAACGCCGCGUGGAGGAUGAAGGUCUUUGGAUUGUAAACUCCUGUCAGCAGGGAAAAAGGGAUAGGCGCGAAUACCGCUUAAACUUGAUUGUACCUGCAGAGGAAGCCCCGGCUAACUCUGUGCCAGCAGCCGCGGUAAUACAGAGGGGGCAAGCGUUAUUCGGAAUUAUUGGGCGUAAAGGGCGCGUAGGCGGCUUUUCAAGUGGCGGGUGAAAACCCUCGGCUUAACCGAGGAACUGCCUGCCAGACUGGAUUGCUUGAGGCCGGGAGAGGCGAGUGGAAUUCCCAGUGUAGCGGUGAAAUGCGUAGAUAUUGGGAGGAACACCAGUGGCGAAGGCGGCUCGCUGGACCGGUUCUGACGCUGAGGCGCGAAAGCGUGGGGAGCAAACAGGAUUAGAUACCCUGGUAGUCCACGCCGUAAACGAUGAGUGCUUGGUGUAGCGGGUAUCGACCCCUGCUGUGCCGACGUCAACACAUUAAGCACUCCGCCUGGGGAGUACGGUCGCAAGACUGAAACUCAAAGGAAUUGACGGGGGCCCGCACAAGCGGUGGAGCAUGUGGUUUAAUUCGAAGCAACGCGCAGAA